GAGUAGCCAACCACCAUAUGUGGAGUCCUGUAUCAGGCAAUGUUGCCAGAGAAUGAGAAGUAGAGUUACAUAGAAGAAAAACAAAGACCUUGCCUUCAAAGUGCUUAAGUAGAGUUUGUCUGUCUGGUGCUUUGUCCCUUAACUAAUAUGUUUCCUGAUCCUUUUUCUUCCCCAGGAAGGAUUUGAUGCCUUGGAUCCCUUUAUUCCCAUCCUGGUUUCCAACUAUAACCCAAAGGAAUUUGAAAGUUGUAUUCAGUAUUAUUUGGAAAACAAUUGGCUUCAACAUGAGAAAGCUCCUACAGAAGAAGGGAAAAAAGAGCUGCUGUUCCUAAGUAACGCGAACCCCUCGCUGCUGGAGCGGCACUGUGCCUACCUCUAAGCCAAGAUCACAGCAUGUGAGGAAGACAGUGGACAUCUGCUUUAGGCUGGACCCAGUAAGAUGAGGAAGUCGGGCAGUACACAGGAAGAGGAGCCAGGCCCUUGUACCUAUGGGAUUGGACAGGACUGCAGUUGGCUCUGGACCUGCAUUAAAAUGGGUUUCACUGUGAAUGCGUGACAAUAAGAUACUCCCUUGUUCCUAAAACUUUAUAUCAGUUUAUUGGAUGUGGUUUUUCACAUUUAAGAUAAUUAUGGCUCUUUUCCUAAAAAAUAAAAUAUCUUUCUAAA
rnacentral:sRNA from 1 species